GACGAACGCUGGCGGCGUGCUUAACACAUGCAAGUCGAACGGAAAGGCCCUGCUUGCAGGGUACUCGAGUGGCGAACGGGUGAGUAACACGUGGGUGAUCUGCCCUGCACUUCGGGAUAAGCCUGGGAAACUGGGUCUAAUACCGGAUAGGAGCCAUUUUUAGUGUGAUGGUUGGAAAGUUUUUUCGGUGUAGGAUGAGCUCGCGGCCUAUCAGCUUGUUGGUGGGGUAAUGGCCUACCAAGGCGGCGACGGGUAGCCGGCCUGAGAGGGUGGACGGCCACAUUGGGACUGAGAUACGGCCCAGACUCCUACGGGAGGCAGCAGUGGGGAAUAUUGCACAAUGGGCGCAAGCCUGAUGCAGCGACGCCGCGUGGGGGAUAACGGCCUUCGGGUUGUAAACUCCUUUCGCUAGGGACGAAGCUUUUUGUGACGGUACCUAGAUAAGAAGCACCGGCUAACUACGUG
rnacentral:rRNA from 1 species